UUUCCGUAGGUGAACCAGCGGAAGGAUCAUUAUUGUAUAACCGAGGUGCGAGGGCUGUCGCUGACCCGAAAGGUCGUGCACGCCCGAGUGCCCUCACACACAUCCAUCUCACCCCUAUGUGCACCACCGCGUGGGUCCCCCUUUGGCUUGUUCGGAGGGGGGCUUACGUUUUCACACAAACUUUGUAUGCAGUGUAGAAUGUAUUUUUUGUUUUUGCGAUCACGCAAUCAGUACAACUUUCAACAACGGAUCUCUUGGCUCUC
rnacentral:misc_RNA from 1 species